GAUGAACGCUGGCGGCGUGCCUAAUACAUGCAAGUCGAGCGAACGGACGAGAAGCUUGCUUCUCUGAUGUUAGCGGCGGACGGGUGAGUAACACGUGGAUAACCUACCUAUAAGACUGGGAUAACUUCGGGAAACCGGAGCUAAUACCGGAUAAUAUUUUGAACCGCAUGGUUCAAAAGUGAAAGACGGUCUUGCUGUCACUUAUAGAUGGAUCCGCGCUGCAUUAGCUAGUUGGUAAGGUAACGGCUUACCAAGGCAACGAUGCAUAGCCGACCUGAGAGGGUGAUCGGCCACACUGGAACUGAGACACGGGCCAGACUCCUACGGGAGGCAGCAGUAGGGAAUCUUCCGCAAUGGGCGAAAGCCUGACGGAGCAACGCCGCGUGAGUGAUGAAGGUCUUCGGAUCGUAAAACUCUGUUAUUAGGGAAGAACAUAUGUGUAAGUAACUGUGCACAUCUUGACGGUACCUAAUCAGAAAGCCACGGCGAACUACGG
rnacentral:rRNA from 1 species